UACGUAGGGUGCGAGCGUUAAUCGGAAUUACUGGGCGUAAAGCGUGCGCAGGCGGCGCGUUAAGACAGGUGUGAAAGCCCCGAGCUUAACUUGGGAAUUGCGCUUGUGACUGGCGUGCUGGAGUGUGGCAGAGGGAGGUGGAAUUCCACGUGUAGCAGUGAAAUGCGUAGAGAUGUGGAGGAACACCCGCGGCGAAGGCGGCCCGCUGGGCCACCCCUGACGCUGAGGCGCGAAGGCCCGGGGAGCGAACGGG
rnacentral:rRNA from 1 species